AUUGAACGCUGGCGGCAGGCUUAACACAUGCAAGUCGAGCGGAGAGAGGUAGCUUGCUACCGAUCUUAGCGGCGGACGGGUGAGUAAUGCUUAGGAAUCCGCCUAUUAGUGGGGGACAACAUUUCGAAAGGAAUGCUAAUACCGCAUACGUCCUACGGGAGAAAGCAGGGGAUCUUCGGACCUUGCGCUAAUAGAUGAGCCUAAGUCGGAUUAGCUAGUUGGUGGGGUAAAGGCCUACCAAGGCGACGAUCUGUAGCGGGUCUGAGAGGAUGAUCCUCCACACUGGGACUGAGACACGGCCCAGACUCCUACGGGAGGCAGCAGUGGGGAAUAUUGGACAAUGGGCGCAAGCCUGAUCCAGCCAUGCCGCGUGUGUGAAGAAGGCCUUAUGGUUGUAAAGCACUUUAAGCGAGGAGGAGGCUACUUUAGUUAAUACCUAGAGAUAGUGGACGUUACUCGCAGAAUAAGCACCGGCUAACUCUGUGCCAGCCGCCGCUGUAAUAC
rnacentral:rRNA from 1 species